GGACUACUGGGGUUUCUAAUCCUGUUUGCUCCCCUAGCUUUCGUUCCUCAGCGUCAGUAGUGGUCCAGCGCGCCGCUUUCGCCACGGGUGUUCCUGCAGAUAUCUACGCAUUUCACCGCUACACCUGCAAUUCCACGCGCCUCUCCCACACUCCAGCACGGCAGUUUUGAAAGCAGCCUCUGGGUUAAGCCCAGAGAUUUCACUCCCAACUUGCCACACCGCCUACGAACCCUUUACGCCCAGUAAUUCCGAACAACGCUGGCCCCCUACGUAUUACCGCGGCGGCUGGCAC
rnacentral:rRNA from 1 species